ACUCUGAGCUCCUCGAUUCAGUGGAACAGGAGAGGCCUCCGAUGACUCUGGCACGUCCGGGUUGCCGGCUUCUCACUCUCCAGCCUGGCGAGGUGGGAGCUCCAAAGGAGUAAAAAGAAAAUCAUGGAAGAAAAAUCAGCAAUUGCAAGAACAUGCCAUGCUUCUGCAAAGUUUUCUUGGAAAUUUGGAAAAGGAAGUCUGGUCCAUCACUCAACAUUAGGUGUGAAACAUCUUUAUUCAGGUGUCAGAAGAAUCCAGUAUUCCAUGGGCACCUGGUUUGGGAAAUCUGACUGGCCAAUUACCCAGCCGCCUCUGGGAGAGCAAGGAGCCGUGGAACUAGGCUUUGGAAACACACCUGGACCUGGCGUGGCACAGAAUGAACCCAAAGCUGGGCCUGCGGAGACAGGGAAGGGGGACACCAGACCACAGGGCAAAGCAUCUAAGACACCUCAGGCCCCUCUUCUCUCCAGAGAAGUUAAGAUCUCCCUGAAGCCUAUGAGGGCAGGAACUGCUUGUCACCUUAAGUGAGACUGUCCGGCAGGGGUAAUGGCUCAUGGCCUCCCUCUCUCCCUGGAAAAUGCUGGGUUAUUAGUUAGCAACCCAGGGCUUGCUUAUCUCUCCUCACUGACACUUCUUUCUCCAAAGACAGAGCCCUGGCGCCCCCUCCCCUUCUCUCCACCCAUAGUGUUAAGAUUCAUCAGCAGUUCUUAUAACUUGCUAUUGUUCCCAUUUUUCUAAUGGGUUUCCAUGUCAGGAAAACCCAUUUUGUAACAGUAACAGGCAGUUUUGCUAACAGACUGUCAUUGAAAAGAUAAACUGGGGAGAGGAAGUGAAAAGAAAGGACCCUUUUCUCUGCUUCCUCCAGAGCUGGAGAAAGCUGGCUUCAGAGCUUGGUGUUGCUGAAACCUUUGGUGUAAGGGCUGGCCUGUGCAGAGCAGAGGCUGCCUGGGCUGAGGGGGUCUCAUUUAGACAUAGAAAGAGACAUAGACACAACCCAGAGAUCAAACAGCAAGAAAUACAGAGGCCCAAGAGACUGGAAAGAAUAGUGUCACGUCUGGGAAUGGAAAAGACUCUCGGCAGAGCCAUUAAUAUUAAUUAAUAUUAGUAACCAUUAAUAUUAUUAAUACAUUAAUAUUAAUAAUUAUUUGUUAUUUAUUUCUACAUGGUUAGCACUGUGCCCCUUACAUUCUCUCAUUUAAUCUUUACAGCCUCCCUAAGAAAUGAGCAUGCACCUCACAAAGAUAAAGUAACUCAGUUUAGAGGUAUUAACUAACUUAUUCAAGGAUACAUCACAUUAAGCAGAAGAACUGGGAUUUAAACCUGGGAUUUUCUGAUGCCGAAGUCCAAGCUUCUGAGCCAGGCCCCUGAAGGGACUGGGGGCUGAGUGGAAAGCUGGGCAGGGAAGCUGUGGGGGAGGGGGGGCAGGCACUUCUUUGUUAUAAACCAGGAGAGUGUGGGAGGCAUUCUCAACUAUUUGGCCUGAUCCUCUGUACCUCGGUAAAAACCCAGAGACGAGGAUUAUGAACAACCUCCUCACCCCCCAUCUCUUCCUUCUUUCCUGGAAAGUAUAGACACUACAGGUUACCCACCAGGCACCAGGCAAAUAACCAGUGGCCCCUGGAAACACCUCAUCCAGAGAUGUAGCAAAGAAAUACCUGACAGUGUGUGUGUGUGUGUGUGUGUGUGUGUGUGUGUUGCAGGAACAGGAGCUAUUCUGUUCUAAGGCUUACAGACGUGGUCCAUUAAUAAUAAACUCUUCCGUGGCUUGUAAAUUUAUUAGGAGAACCUGGUGUAAUUAAAAUUCAGGGUUAGGGAAGGGGGGAGCAGAGAACCUUUGCUUCCAUUCCUUCUUUCAGAGAUCCAGGCUGAACUACCGAUGGGGAUAAUUAGCAGAGUCCAAACAGAGAAGGAAUUAACGCUCCUGAAAAAGCUGUGAUGAGGAGAGACAAUGCUGGGCUAAUUAUGGCCGCACAAGCUUUAUGACUGGGCACCGGCUUCCACCAUCAUUAGGGGAUUCAGAGAUAAAUCGGAGGCUAAUGCGGAGUGCUAUAGCUAACAGAGCGUUGGCAUUAAUUUAGCAAUUAUUAGUAUUAUUAUUUUGGCAGAUGGCAACUGUACCUUUUUGCUUGAUUGGUCAGG